CUGCCAGUAGUCAUAUGCUUGUCUCAAAGAUUAAGCCAUGCAUGUCUCAGUACAAGCCAAAUUAAGGUGAAACCGCGAAAGGCUCAUUAAAUCAGUUAUGGUUCCUUAGAUCGUACCCACAAUUACUUGGAUAACUGUGGUAAUUCUAGAGCUAAUACAUGCAAACAGAGCUCCGACCGGAGACGGAAGGAGUGCUUUUAUUAGAUCAAAACCAAUCGGUGGCGAGUUCGCUCGUCAUCGUACAACUUGGUGACUCUGAAUAACUUUACGCUGAUCGCACGGUCUCGCACCGGCGACGCAUCUUUCAAAUGUCUGCCUUAUCAACUGUCGAUGGUAGGUUCUGCGCCUACCAUGGUUGUAACGGGUAACGGGGAAUCAGGGUUCGAUUCCGGAGAGGGAGCCUGAGAAACGGCUACCACAUCCAAGGAAGGCAGCAGGCGCGCAAAUUACCCACUCCCGGCACGGGGAGGUAGUGACGAAAAAUAACGAUACGGGACUCAUCCGAGGCCCCGUAAUCGGAAUGAGUACACUCUAAACCCUUUAACGAGGAUCAAUUGGAGGGCAAGUCUGGUGCCAGCAGCCGCGGUAAUUCCAGCUCCAAUAGCGUAUAUUAAAGU
rnacentral:rRNA from 15 species